rnacentral:rRNA from 2 species
UAGGGAAUCUUCCGCAAUGGGCGAAAGCCUGACGGAGCAACGCCGCGUAAGUGAUGAAGGUCUUCGGAUCGUAAAACUCUGUUAUUAGGGAAGAACAAAUGUGUAAGUAACUAUGCACGUCUUGACGGUACCUAAUCAGAAAGCCACGGCUAACUACGUGCCAGCAGCCGCGGUAAUACGUAGGUGGCAAGCGUUAUCCGGAAUUAUUGGGCGUAAAGCGCGCGUAGGCGGUUUUUUAAGUCUGAUGUGAAAGCCCACGGCUCAACCGUGGAGGGUCAUUGGAAACUGGAAAACUUGAGUGCAGAAGAGGAAAGUGGAAUUCCAUGUGUAGCGGUGAAAUGCGCAGAGAUAUGGAGGAACACCAGUGGCGAAGGCGACUUUCUGGUCUGUAACUGACGCUGAUGUGCGAAAGCGUGGGGAUCAAACAGG